AGAGUUUGAUCCUGGCUCAGAACGUACGCUGGCGGCACGCCUAACACAUGCAAGUCGAACGAAGUAGCAAUACUUAGUGGCAGACGGGUGAGUAACAUGUAGGUAUCUGCCCUAUGGCCUGGAAUAACACGAGGAAACUUGUGCUAAUACCGGAUAAGUCUUUACAGAGAAAGCUUUAUGCACCAUUGGAUGAGCCUGCACUUGAUUAGUUUGUUGGUGGGGUAAUGGCCUACCAAGACUGUGAUCAAUAGCUGAUUUGAGAGGAUGAUCAGCCACAUUGGGACUGAGACACGGCCCAAACUCCUACGGGAGGCAGCAGUGGGGAAUCUUGCACAAUGGAGGAAACUCUGAUGCAGCGAUGCCGCGUGAGUGAAGAAGGCCUUUGGGUUGUAAAGCUCUUUCGUCGGGGAAGAAAAUGACUGUACCCGAAUAAGAAGGUCCGGCUAACUUCGUGCCAGCAGCCGCGGUAAUACGAAGGGACCUAGCGUAGUUCGGAAUUACUGGGCUUAAAGAGUUCGUAGGUGGUUGAAAAAGUUGGUGGUGAAAUCCCAGAGCUUAACUCUGGAACUGCCAUCAAAACUUUUCAGCUAGAGUUUGAUAGAGGAAAGCAGAAUUUCUAGUGUAGAGGUGAAAUUCGUAGAUAUUAGAAAGAAUACCAAUUGCGAAGGCAGCUUUCUGGAUCAUUACUGACACUGAGGAACGAAAGCAUGGGUAGCGAAGAGGAUUAGAUACCCUCGUAGUCCAUGCCGUAAACGAUGUGUGUUAGACGUUGGAAAUUUAUUUUCAGUGUCGCAGCGAAAGCGAUAAACACACCGCCUGGGGAGUACGACCGCAAGGUUAAAACUCAAAUGAAUUGACGGGGACCCGCACAAGUAGUGGAGCAUGUGGUUUAAUUCGAAGAUACGCGCAGAACCUUACCAACACUUGACAUGUUCGUCGCGACUUUAAGAGAUUAAAGUUUUCGGUUCGGCCGGACGAAACACAGGUGCUGCAUGGCUGUCGUCAGCUCGUGUCGUGAGAUGUUGGGUUAAGUCCCGCAACGAGCGCAACCCUCACUUUUAGUUGCCAUCAUUUAGUUGGGCACUCUGAAAGAACUGCCAGUGAUAAGCUGGAGGAAGGUGGGGAUGACGUCAAGUCCUCAUGGCCCUUACGUGUUGGGCUACACACGUGCUACAAUGGUAUCUACAACAGGAAGCAAGACGGCGACGUCAAGCAAAUCCCUAAAAGAUACCUCAGUUCGGAUUGCACUCUGCAACUCGAGUGCAUGAAGCUGGAAUUACUAGUAAUCGUGGAUCAGCGUGCCACGGUGAAUGCGUUCCCGGGUCUUGUACACACCGCCCGUCACACCAUGGGAGUUGGUUCUACCUUAAGGCAAGGUUUUAAACCCUUGACCACGGUAUAGUCAGCGACUGGGGUGAAGUCGUAACAAGGUAGCCGUAGGGGAACCUGCGGCUGGAUCACCUCCUU
rnacentral:rRNA from 1 species